rnacentral:misc_RNA from 1 species
AUGUAUAUAGCCAACAAAUAACCAAAAACCUUUAUGUUGAAAUAUUAAGAAUAAAAAUCAUCUUCUGCAUUAUAAUCGGCUAAGUCUGCAUAUUGUUACAAGAAGCAUUUAAAUCGAAAGUUGUGGAUUAUUUGGUGACUAUAUCACAGACACGGUUGUGGCAGUUUCGUAUUGUGAAUAAAUCAGGCCGAUACAUUUUAGUGGCAUUUAUAUUCAACUGGAUAUGCAUGAUGUUCAUAAAAUUAAGGAUUCCUGUAGACGAGUAAUUGUUGUGUAAAAUAAAUAAAUACUGGAAUUUAUGUCUCAAAACUUAGUCAUGAAACCGGAGUUUACUACUAGUUUUUUUAUCAUAGUAAAAAUAGAAGCGGCAAGCUAAAAACGUCAUAUGAUAAAGUGCUAAGUAUAUAUAGCCGGAUGAUCGCUGCUACAACACAGGAAUAUCAGGUCAAAAACAGUUAAAGUCCAGCGCAAUACGUUCGUUAUAUAUGCCAGAACAAAAUGGCAACUGCAGAAGGCGAGCAUGGCUCGGAUUUUGAAGAGACGAUGUUCUGUGAACCUUGUAAUAAGGAAGGUAACACUGUUGAAGCUGAUGGGUUUUGUUCUGAUUGCUCUGAUUACUUAUGUAGUACGUGCCUCAAGUAUCACAAACGAUUAGCUAAAGAUCACACACUGUUUGAUAAAUCAAACAUGCCACAGGACUUCUGUUUUGAACGAUGUGCAAUCCAUCCAAAUGACCUGGUAAAAUUCUACUGUCCGAGAUGCGACUACACUGCAUGUAUUGAAUGUCUACCAAUUAACCAUCAAGCUGAGUGCUCUGAAUUUAAACAUAUCCCUUCAUAUAUGCAGUCGCGAGAUAUAUACAGAGAAUUUAAAGAAAUUAAGAAUUCAAUGAAAAACGUUGAGGAAGAAGCAAGUCGCACUGAGGCUGAGACUGGUCAGAAAUUGAAAGAAGUAAGCCUUAACAGUAGUGAUAUUUCGAAGUCAAUAAAAUGUCAGAAGAAGUGCAUAAAGGACCGCAUUGACAAUCAACGUAUUGAAAUCUUUACUACUCUAGAUGAGGAAAGGUCCGAACUUAUAAGACAGAUCGACGAGAGACAAGGACGAAGAAAACAGCAAUUGUUUGAACAACAGAUGUUUAUAAACAAUAAGGUAGAUGAUGAAGCGAGACAGUUGGAUGAACAAUCAAAGUUAUAUCCGAAAAAAAUACAAAACAUGGCAUUAAACAUGGCAAACAUUAGAUCGAAAUUAGAGUCCCUUACAACUGAUCUAGAAACGAAAGAGAGACGUGGAAGAAAGGCUGAACUUUUCAUGACAACCAGGAAAGUUAAGCACAGUAUGAAAACGCUUGGCAAGGACAUAGACGAUGUACGAGAAGCGAACAAAGAAAGGUGCUUGUGUUUUAGACAAAACACAGAUGAUGUCAGUAUAGAUGCUGCGGAAAGCGUCUCGCUUGGAUCACUUACUGAACAAAGCCAACAGAGAGGUAGUGAAGAUGCAGCCAGAUGUCAGCAGGGAGCAUUUGACACACCUAGUUCAACAGGCACUGAAACGUUGUCCACAACUGCUUCUGCUAAGAACGCUGUAAAGAAAGUAAAAAGGGAUGCAAUUACUGGGAAAAUCGAAACAACGGAGUCACGGUAUCUAACAAGACGUCAAUUGAAAAAACUUAAAAAGCGUGAAAGGAGAUCACAGCUUAUUGAUAGUUCAGGAAACCAGUACAUCGAUCAAAAAGAAGACGAUAUCAGUUCUUCGAAGCCUGAUGUCUGUACGGUAUCCAAUUAUGGAAUCCAGUAUGGAAGCCGUGGGAAAAGUAGCCUUUACUAUUAAUAGCUAACAACGGUUAGUCCCCGUCAAAAUUUCCGACACAAUGGCUCCAGAAGAUAAUUAUAAACAAUCGCAAUGAUAUUGACUGCACCAACCCUCGUCUGCAGUCUAAUGGAAGCCUGCAGCAGAACUUGGACCAAAAUGGAACAACCGGUAGAAAUGGGAUUCUUAAUACAGAUUUAAAUAAAUUGUAAUCCAGCAUAACGAUGACAUGGAAAGGGUUAUGCAGGAGCUACUAAGAGAGUAAUCAUAGCUUCGAUGAAUCGAUGUAGGAAAAAGAAAGCCACAGUUUCGGUUAAUCGUAACGUAUUAAGGGUUUUAGAUGGGAAAGACCGAGGAGAAAUGAUUCCGAACUUUUACCUGCAAAGAGAAUGGGUACUAAUGAAAAUUAGACGUAAGAGUAACUUAAAUGUUUUUAGAUAUAAUUAUUUUGCAUUUCUGUCUAAUCAACCAUGUUCUCAUUACUAAUAUGUUUGAUCGUUGUAAUACAAAGUUCCUUUGUUAUGUAUAUCAGUUUUAACGUUGUUGUAAAUAUUUUAUAAUAUCGCGUUUGAAUAAAAUAAAUCGUUUAGGUAUUGGCAUCUCUUGUGGGCGUCGCUUCAUGUUUCCGCCAAACAACAGGAGCUUUAGCUUUGAAACUUUUUAGUUGAGCAAGUAGCCCGGGAUCUAAACAUGUAUUGUGUCAGAAUGAUGAUCCCUUUUGUACUUAGAAAAUUGGAGUUUCUUGGUUAGGUAUUUCUGCUAAAGCUCAUCAAGGCACUAACGAGACGAAGGAUGGAGGAAGAUGCUUUUCAUCUCCUUGAUCGGUCUGAACAAGUGAUGAUGGUCAGGCUCCGCUCAGGGCACAACAAGCUCAA